UACGUAGGGGGCAAGCGUUGUCCGGAAUCAUUGGGCGUAAAGAGCGUGUAGGCGGUCCGGUCAGUCGGUUGUGAAAGUCAAGGGCUCAACCCUUGAAUGCCGGCCGAUACUGCCGGGCUAGAGUCCGGAAGAGGUGAGUGGAAUUCCUGGUGUAGCGGUGAAAUGCGCAGAUAUCAGGAGGAACACCGGUGGCGAAGGCGGGACUCUGGGCCGAUACUGACGCUGAGGAGCGAAAGCGUGGGGAGCAAACAGG
rnacentral:rRNA from 1 species